UAUGCUGGAUGGGGCAUUGUACAUGCUGCAGCCAAGAACUAUUUUUUAGUUUUCUGAAUUACAAUUGCCUAAUGUAUGGAUUCCCUUUUGGUUGCACAUCUAAUUCUACAGAUACUUGAAUGGAGCAACUCUGCAACUACACAACUAUUAUCAUUGUGAAUUGACAACUCGUAGCCCUGAUCAAGUACAAGAUAAAUUGAUACAACUUUGAGAAUACAUUUGUAUAGUGUUGCUUAAGAGAUGUUUGGUUAUAAUAUACUAUGUCUUAUAUUUAGGAACAGAGGUAGUACUAUUUUUCUUGAAUAUCCAACUCAACUGUGUGUUGGCUCUUUUCUCUUCAAGGAAAACAUGUUCUUUUACUUUUAGAAUACAUUCGCAGGACGACGCUACACCUAGCGCCGUGAACGACUCAUAGGUCGCUUCGGAUGAGAUCAUCAAAUUGGAAGGACAGGAUGAGGAUAUGGACCUCCCGGAGAUCUUCAAUAUGGAAGGACAAUGUCGUUGUUGUUGUAAAAACAUGGUGAUGGUGUUUGAGUUGAAAUAGGCAAGGGCAGUCGACCACGAGAGGAGUUAAAAGAGAACGGACGGAAUCAACCGAGCCUUCUGUCCAUUCAGUCUCCAACUUGACAAGGGAAAGCAAAAGGAAGCCCAUUGAACUGAUGCAACCAUGGUCCAAGUGGCAAGCUAGAAAGCAACACGCUUCGACGGUAUCAUUCCUUAAAUAAGCAUGACAUUUGCUGAAAUGGUAGUUUUUCAUUAACUUUGUAAUCUUUAUUCGUAUGUCAGCAGCUCUCUGACUAUGCUUUAAAUGAAAGAAGUUUACAUUGAUAGGAUAUGAGCAUCAGAGAUUAAGAAGAAAAUGGGCAUGUCAGAAUUAGUUAUAGUUGGUUGCCUUUAAUAUACAUCUUUCAUGUUCCCUCUGUAGAGCGUCCACUCCGUGUCCCCGCUCGUCAUGUAGGUGACCUUGGUGACAUUGCCAUGGUCGCAAAUGGCCACAACGGUGUAGUCAUCAAGCCUUGGAUUCAGCCCGAGCACGAGUCUGUGUGGGUACCAGUUGUUGGGCAGAGGAAGGAGCUCGAUCUCCUCGCCGGUGACAGGAUUUAAGAGACCACAACAUCGACCAUAGGCAAUGGGUAGCUAUAGCAGUUAGAUUGGAUCACGACUGAAACCAAGAACUUUGGGAUGGUGCGAGGAGUGGUAGUCAUAAAGCAAGUAACAAAGGGUAACCAUAGCAGUUAGACUUGAUCACGACUGAAUCUACAAACUUUGGGAUGGUGCGAGCAGUGGUGGUCAGCAAGCAAGAAAGAGAAAUGUUUGCCUUUAUUUGCUAUGACUAACAUGAUGUUCUCUCGGGUAUGUAAAGCUCCUUUGUGCAGGUAACAAAGGUAACCCUUCAAAGUAUUGAAGGGACAAAUAAACUGCAGAUUGCUUGUUUGAUUUCAAGUGAGUGAUUCAUGUUCUUGGCAUCAACCAUUGUUUGAGAUCUUUUGUAUUUGUAGGAGCACAUGCUUAAAUAUUAGACGAUCCCAAGUUAGAUAUACACCGACCUGUGUAUAUAGAGAUGGAAGCAAAUUACUAGCAUUAAUUUUGACGAUGAGGAAGGUAAAACAGAGAUGCGAAUUACUAACAUGGACACUAAGAGUAGGUCUUGGCGUCUUCCUCUCCCUCCGAACUGAUGUGGUUGUGUGGGUGUUGUCAACUGAUGUGCCUAUGCAGAUCAUCGUUGCCUAUGAUAUAUGCCGGUGGAUGGAAAUAGAGGUGUUCAAGCGAGUCAGCGGCAUGUCUGCCAUGCCACAACAGCUCAGCUCCGAACAUAUAAUAGGCGCAGCAAAUAACAUCGCAUAAUUUAGGCAAGCGGAAUAUAGCUGUGAAAUGCCUCCAUGUUGUAUUGCACACCCAUUUCUUAAUACUUUGACAUAAGUAUAAACAUCUACAAGCCUACUGUUCUUCCGCGUGUUAAAUUGAAUAAGAUUAUGAUGGUAUAGUGUUGCUGAUGAUGCCUUGCGCAGCAGACGUUUCCUUUAUCCCUUCAAAGACGCGGAUCAUACAUUAGCAUGCUCAAGUUGCGAUGACUUGACAUAGGCAAGAAAGUUCCACACAUUUUCUCUUCCAUUCACACUUAUACUUUAAGGGGUUUCUUACAGGUUUUAAACCUUGAAGCUUACAUGGUCACUAAUAUGGGCAUGUUGUGUUAAAUCAAUAACCUUGAUUUCAGUCUUUAGGCAUUAUGAAGAAACUUCAACAUUGAAGAUAGUGAAAGACAUGCAGUGCACUUGAAUUGGAUAAUAAUGAUGGUUUUAAUUUUGCCUCAAACAUGCAGAAGAAAUUCAAGAUAGUUUUUUUCCGGUGAAUACAUACAUUAUAGCAAGCAUUAGGUUUUUGACCAUGCACGAGCAAUGUAUAGAAGGUAGACAUGGAAGAAUAUUUUAUGGGCAAUUCAAUGUGUAUUGACUGUAACACUAAACUAUACCAUAUAUAUCUUUAUUCAAAUUUUUUUUGCAUUGCACAUAUAUGAUCAUGUAUAUAUAAAGCUGAAUGAAGUUUUUAGUUGAGUUGAUUCUUGACAAGCUCAAAUCCAUCACAGGCCUGGGGCUUGUCA